GAGAUGUUCGGUUAAGUCCGCUAACGAGCGCAACCUCGUCGUAUGUUAUAUGUGUCAUACGAGACUGCCGGUAAAAGCCGGAGGAAGGUGAGGAUGAUGUCAAGUCAGCAUGACCUUUAUAUCCAGGGCUACACACACGCUACAAUGGUCUGUACAAUGGGUAGCCAAGCCGCGAGGCGGAGCCAAUCCUGAAAGCAGGCCUCAGUUCAGAUUGCAGUCUGCAACUCGACUGCAUGAAGCCGGAGUUGCUAGUAACCGCAGGUCAGCAAUACUGCGGUGAAUACGUUCCCGGGUCUUG
rnacentral:rRNA from 1 species